UACGUAGGGUGCAAGCGUUAAUCGGAAUUACUGGGCGUAAAGCGUGCGCAGGCGGUUUUGUAAGUCAGAUGUGAAAUCCCCGGGCUUAACCUGGGAACUGCGUUUGAAACUACAAGGCUAGAGUGUGGCAGAGGGGGGUGGAAUUCCACGUGUAGCAGUGAAAUGCGUAGAGAUGUGGAGGAACACCGAUGGCGAAGGCAGCCCCCUGGGUUACACUGACGCUCAGGCACGAAAGCGUGGGGAGCAAACAGG
rnacentral:rRNA from 1 species